AACGAACGCUGGCGGCAGGCUUAACACAUGCAAGUCGAGCGCCCCGCAAGGGGAGCGGCAGACGGGUGAGUAACGCGUGGGAAUCUACCCAUCUCUACGGAAUAACGCAUGGAAACGUGUGCUAAUACCGUAUACGUCCUUCGGGCGAAAGAUUUAUCGGAGAGGGAUGAGACCGCGGUGGAUUAGGUAGUUGGUGGGGUAAAGGCCUACCAAGGCGACGAUCCAUAGCUGGUCUGAGAGGAUGAUCAGCCACACUGGGACUGAGACACGGCCCAGACUCCUACGGGAGGCAGCAGUGGGGAAUAUUGGACAAUGGGCGCAAGCCUGAUCCAGCCAUGCCGCGUGAGUGAUGAAGGCCCUAGGGUUGUAAAGCUCUUUCACCGGUGAAGAUAAUGACGGUAACCGGAGAAGAAGCCCCGGCUAACUUCGUGCCAGCCGCCGCCGUAAAAC
rnacentral:rRNA from 1 species